UACGUAGGGUGCGAGCGUUGUCCGGAAUUAUUGGGCGUAAAGGGCUCGUAGGUGGCCAACUAAGUCAGACGUGAAAUCCCUCGGCUUAACCGGGGAACUGCGUCUGAUACUGGAUGGCUUGAGUUUGGGAGAGGGAUGCGGAAUUCCAGGUGUAGCGGUGAAAUGCGUAGAUAUCUGGAGGAACACCGGUGGCGAAGGCGGCAUCCUGGACCAAUACUGACACUGAGGAGCGAAAGCCGGGGGAGCAAACGGG
rnacentral:rRNA from 1 species